rnacentral:rRNA from 1 species
AUUGAACGCUGGCGGCAGGCCUAACACAUGCAAGUCGAAUGGUAACAGGAAACAGCUUGCUGUUUCGCUGACGAGUGGCGGACGGGUGAGUAAUGUCUGGGAAACUGCCUGAUGGAGGGGGAUAACUACUGGAAACGGUAGCUAAUACCGCAUAACGUCGCAAGACCAAAGAGGGGGACCUUCGGGCCUCUUGCCAUCAGAUGUGCCCAGAUGGGAUUAGCUAGUAGGUGGGGUAACGGCUCACCUAGGCGACGAUCCCUAGCUGGUCUGAGAGGAUGACCAGCCACACUGGAACUGAGACACGGUCCAGACUCCUACGGGAGGCAGCAGUGGGGAAUAUUGCACAAUGGGCGCAAGCCUGAUGCAGCCAUGCCGCGUGUAUGAAGAAGGCCUUCGGGUUGUAAAAUACUUUCAGCGGGGAGGAAGGGAGUAAAGUUAAUACCUUUGCUCAUUGACGUUACCCGCAGAAGAAGCACCGGCUAACUCCGUG